rnacentral:misc_RNA from 1 species
GAUGAAGAACGGAGCGAAAUGCGAUAAGUAAUGUGAAUUGCAGAAUUCAGUGAAUCAUCGAAUCUUUGAACGCACAUUGCGCCCGCCAGUAUUCUGGCGGGCAUGCCUGUUCGAGCGUCAUUACAACCCUCAGGCCCCCGGGCCUGGCGUUGGGGAUCGGCGGAGCCCCCCGUGGGCACACGCCGUCCCCCAAAUGCAGUGGCGGUCCCGCCGCAGCUUCCAUCGCGUAGUAGCUAACACCUCGCGACUGGAGAGCGGCGCGGCCACGCCGUAAAACACCCAACUCUUCUGAAGUUGACCUCGAAUCAGGCAGGAAUACCCGCUGAACUUAAGCAUAUCAAUAAGCGGAGGA